CCGGCGGGGCGGUGAUGCAGCUGGCGGCUCAUGCUGGGGGGACGGGCUGCGGAGCGCGACGCGAGGGUUAUCACGGCCAAGAUCUAUGGUAGAAGCUUCCACUGGGUCUGGCUAGGGGGUGGCAGAAGACACCCUCCCACCAGGUGGAGGAGCGUGCUAUAGGGGAGCAGAUGUCCAGGCCAGCUCUGCUUCAGAAGGACAUGAACAGGAUCAAGAAUAUUCCAGAGAAUCAUCCUUAGCCUGUCAGCUAGCUACUGCUUCCCCCAGACAUCCAGAAGAGGAUGGCUCUAUCCUGAGUACUGGGUCCCAGAGGAAGAGAAUCAUCCAUCCCAUCCCAGGAACCCCCAAUCAGAACAUUCGUUGCCCUGGCAUUUCUGAUUUUGGAUCAAAAUGUGACUGAGUAUUAAGAACAAGUUGAGAGGGGCACCUGGGUGGCUCAGUGGGUUAAAGCCGCUGCCUUCGGCUCAGGUCAUGAUCUCAGGGUCCUGGGAUCGAGUUCCGCAUCGGGCUCUCUGCUCAGCAGGGAGACUGCUUCCUUCUCUCUCUGCCUGCCUCUCUGCCUACU